rnacentral:lncRNA from 1 species
GCCUACUUUGCGAUGCCUUAACGGAAAGCGGUCGUACAGUAUACUGUACUGAUGUUAUGGUUAAGACUAACUUUAGCACAGAACUUAAUAUAUUAUUUCACUAAGAUAUAGCAAGAAAACCUGUAAUAGCAGUUGAAAACAUGAACAGUUUAUCAUUACCCUCAUACCUCCUCGGUGGGCGGGUGUUUUUGACGUCACUUUGGGAUUAAAAGGCCCAGGACUGCCCCAUCAUUGAGCACUGACCCUUGGGCCAGCAGGAAACUUCCCUGGAAGAACACAACACAGGCAUAAACAUGAAUCAAAUCUGGAUUCUGUGUUUUGCGGUGCUGAUCAUCACCAUACCAUUUUCAACUCAGAAUAGCGAUGCUCAGAAGUCAGAAGGCAGUAGCUCAGCAUCCUCUAGUACCUCCACAAAUUCCAGCGCUGUAGGAUUGGGUCCUGUGCCCACCACACUGUACCUGCUGAUUCCUGCAGCCACCCUGGGCUUCAUCCACUGUAGAUCCUAGUGAUGGAUGGAGAGCGUUCGCCAUAGAUGACCAAGACAGAGACAGUGGCGAAAUGGACAGCCAUUCACCCAAAGAGCAAACUUUUCCACAAAUCUUGAAGACAGAAGAUGCCGCAGCUCACAUUUUUGUAAUGGAAUUUAAGUAAUGAAAAUGAAUAAAGUUUGGAGAAUUUCUCCAAAAGGGAUUUGUUUGGUUACACCUGUUUUAGAGCGCUUGAAAGACACCUGCAACUCAGGGUCCUGCUACAGAGCUCUUUGUCGCGUUUUGCUCCAAAGUCACUGUUUCAGCUCACCUAUGGCAAAUUCUCUUGGAAGAGUUUGAUUCUCCUAUGCUCAGUAUAUGAUUGAGAUUAAGCCGGUUUUAAAAAACUCCAUUACUUAAAUCAGUAAUCACAUUUCAAUUUUAGCCCAAUUUCCAUUUCUGUAAUGACAUUAUGGGUACUACAAAUGUAUAACUUUACUAUAAAUGUGAUCAAUGUACUACAUCUCAGAAUGUGUCUGUAUGCACAAUUAAAAUAGAUGAUUGUAUGUUUGUGCCAUUUUUUCAUUCAAAUCAGUAUUAAUGUUUUCUCCUAAGAUAUAUAAUCAGAGUUUCAUAAUAGUUUUUCCCCAUGUGUUUUAUUCAAGAAUUAGAUGAGUACAAAUACACUUAGAAUAAUCAGGAUUCUCCAUGUUUUCUCAUGCCAACAACAAAGUAAACAAAGCAAAAGAGAGUUUUGUAAUAGUUUUAGUAAGGUAAUAGGACGUAGAGUAGAAAAUGCAGGUAUCCUAGAUUGAAAUUUAUUAGAGAAUUUAGUGUAUUUGACAUUUUAAAAACUGCUUUAAGACAUGAAGGCACUGUACUGAUAGAGGAUGUGAUCCUCCUCUUAAACCAAUGAGCAGGUGUUUAAACACGUCACACAUCAGUCACUGUGAGAAUAAAACUCCCCUCCCGCAUCACUGAGCACAGACUCUCUGCCUCACAGAAAACAUCUCUUGAAGAAA